AAAUAAGUAGUUCUGUUUCUCUGAAGAACCCUGAUUAAUACAAACAAAAAGCCUAAACUGAAAUUAAGUUAAUUUGGUGUCUACUAAAAUAGGACACCACAUACAGAGAACCAAAAGGAAUUCACAUUUUUUUCAGAGCUAGAGGGAAGCUAAGAGUUCACCUGUCCUGGCCUCUUUACCUCCCUGAUAGAGAGGUAAGUCCCAGGGUACUCUGCCCCUUCCUGAGUCUCAGGCUGGGCCCAAGUAGUCUAACACCCAGGACUGUGUCCCCCAUUCCACCAGGGACUUCUGAGAAGAGAGCUAUCUCAUUGUGGAAAAAAUAAAUGAGAUGGAAAACAGACAAAUCACAUGUGUGUCAACACUGACAGGUGAAUUAGUUAAUCAGAAGCAAGAACCUAUGCAGAAAAUGAAGUACUGAGACUAUUUCUCACUCCUCAAGCAUACAUAGAAGAUAAUGACAAUACUUUUCAGACCAUGACAAAGAAUUGUGAUAUCAUGAUUAUUUUUCCAAACCACUGGCUCUGGCUAAUUAAUACUUUAACAGAAAAUUUUGCUCCAAGAACUCUUAACAGUUUUACAGCAAAACAGGGAAACAAAGAUUUAAUGUUUACUCUAUGCUCUGCCUUGAUUUGAUAGCAAAGAUGGCAGGCACUAAGACAGCUUCUCUGUAUACGCAAUGGGAAAAGAGUAGGAAGCCAUUAAUAAGUAGUAUUACUGUGGUAUUCUUAUUUAAUAGUCACAGAGGACCAACAAUCCCCUAAAGGAUAAACACCCAACUCCUUCCCAGUGAGUUUAUUGUUUCACGAUUUAAGGACAUAGGAUAAAGGAGAGGAACAAGGACCACAGACAAACACACACACACACACACACACACACACACACACACACUCACACACUCACUCUGGCUUUUCAUAAAGCAGCACCAUUUUCCCUGGGAUUCAAGAUACUUGGCUGAGUCUGUUGCAAAUCGGCGGCAGUUGAGAGUCUACUCCCAGAGCCUCUUUCUGAUGGAAGCCUCGACUACACACCUCACUCCUCAUACUGUACAGGCAGAUGCUGCAUGUCAGUAAGAGGAAAGCGACCUAUUAGAGAUUAUACACGUAGUUGUCUGAGUCCCUCUUUCCAAUUCAUUCAGGUGUAUAUCUGGAAGUGGGAUUGCUGGGUCACGUGUUAAUUCUGUUGAACUUUUCGAGGAACCCAUCCUCAGAAUAUUUGGAGUCAGUGGUGAACUGAAUCUAAAGCUCAAAGGAAGCCCAGACCAGUUCAGCUACUGAGUAGAUGUUGGCCCAACAGGAGAAGGGACAUAUCCUUUCUGGGACAAUAUGAUUAUUUACUUCAGGCUCUAAUGUUCUUUUUAUUCAUCCAUUAUAACUGUAAACUCAGUGAUUUUAAUUACACUAAUAGUUGUGCAAUCAUUACAAUCCAGUUUUAGAAUAUUUUCAUCACCCCCAAAAUUCCCUCGAGCUUGUUUGCAGUCAAAGUUACUCCCAGCACCAGGCAAGCCCAGGUCUGCUUUCUGUCUCUCUGUUUCCCUUUUCCAGACAUUUCAUAUAUAUAUAAUCAUGGUCUAGGUAGAUCUUUUGGAUCUGGUGUCCCAAGUAUGAAUAUUAGUUUACUAGCUCAGAUGUACAUAAAAAUAUUACAUAUUUUUACUUUCUACUCAGCCCGUGCCAGUAGGAAUGUAGGGAGUUCCACUGUCAGGCAUCACUGCGGCCUAGAGUGGAGGGUCUCCUUCUCUAGGGUCGUGCAAAAAUCUAGAAGGGCCUUCGGUACCAUUGGAAUCAGGACCACUUAUUCUUCAGCCCAUUAAUCUUGCUGCUGAUACCCUCAUUAUCCAAUACAUGGGUUCUUCUAAGGAGAAGGCAGGUUGCUCUAUUAUUUCCAGUGACAAGUGUGGACUCCAGAAUCUGCCAAAACUGUGGGAUCAGGUUCCCUAGGUCUAAUAGAUGCAUCACACAGCUGUGUGACACCAAGAGCUUGCCUGGUGCUGCAGGGGCUCAGGAGACCACUAAUCCCCACCCCUUCCACUCUAGAGCAGUCAUUCUUCUCUCCAACUGCUGUAAAAGCCCCCUACCCCAUCCAGCCUAUCUCCCCUUUCCCCACCAGGACACCUGGGAUAUAUACACUUGUAUUAUAGCUUGCCACUUGUAUUAGGAUUCCCCCGCACCCCGUGCCGGUGGCUCGUACCAGUGAGCAGCGUGGAUGCUCAUCCACACGCUGCUUAUUCCCACUGAUUUCAGCAGCAUCAGCCCCUUAAUUCCAAAAUCAAGGCUUCCGGGUAUGAUGUCCUUCUUGGUCUUCAGCACAAACCUGCUCCCAGACUCUCUUCCAGAUCACCUGCAACCCCGCCCUCAUUGCUGUUUUUCAGUCUUGCUCCAGGGUCCCGUUGCCUGCCCGGUGCUCGGACCGCAGCACCUUGGCCUAGACCUUGAUCCUGAGAUCAGAUGACUUCUGCGUCAGGGAUGCUCAUUCCUGCUCACCGUGCUUAGACUGCAAACUAGCGCGGUUCUCCCUCCUUCCUCGUCUUGUUUCCUUCCUUUUAAUUCUGACAAAUCCGGAAGCAUCUUCUUUCCUCUGGUCCAGUAUAGCAAUACUCCUGCUUCCUAGGUACAAUGCAGGUCAACGCAGUAAAUCCCGCUGCCUGGGGCAGCUGAAGCAUCCAGGAACAAAACCAGGUGUUUUGUUCCCUGGUAACAAAAGCCGAAAAAGCAUCCUGCAGGCUUUUUGUUUAUAAUUAAAGGUCUAUUUUAAGCGUAAAAUCAGGUGGAAAGCCAUGCGUGUUCAGUUACCUAUAUCCAAAUGUAAGGCUUUUAAUAGAGAUCGACGUCUAGUUCCAAGGGUGCUUGACACCAUGCUCCUCUUGCCACGGGGUGCAGAGACCCCUUGUGGAUAUGGCUUUAUAGAGGGACCCCGUGGGGAAGACUGACUUUGCACACGUUUUAAUUAAUAAUUUAUUUUGACUAACGCCGUUCCUCACGGUUAUCACACUGACACCUUGGCGCAACCCUCAUUAUCCAGGUGGGUGCCUUGAGCCAGCGCCAGUCGGCGCAGGGAAGAGGAGCCGCAGGAUACUCGCCGCAAAGCCCUCGGAGGGCGGGGCCUGUCGAGGGGCGGGGCCCGGGAAAUUCCCGGCGGAGGCGGGGAGGCCCGCUCGGCGUCAGCUGUGCGUCGCUGGGCGGGGUCGCGAGGCCGCAAGUCCGCCCGAGGCUCCCCGAGUGGCCGCCGCCGCCCUCCCGCGGGGCCUCCGGUCCGCGUCUGCAUCCGGGCCCCGAUGCCGAGGAAGCAGUGACCCGGAGCAAGGCGGGAGCGCGGGCGCCCGGUCUGCCGGGGCCGGGGGCGGGUAGGGGUUGGGCGAGGGCGGCUCCUUCUCUGCCUGCCCCGGAAACUGUUCCCGCGGACCCCUUCCCUGCCAGCCUGACCCAGUAGGCGAGUGGGUGGCGAGGGGUGGGGAGUCCCCUCCUGCGGGGGGGUUUCCAGUUCCCGGCGGAUCCUGACCUGGUGGGGAAGGGCCGCGCGGGCGGCCGUCCCUAAGCGCCCUCCCCGUCACCGGCCUGGCCGGCCGCGGGCGACUCGUCUGUGGGUCGCGCAGGUGAUGUAAGGUGAUUCCCUCCCGCGGGUUGGGAACGACUAGUGCCUCGUUAUCAGGAAGUGGUUAAGAGUAGGCCUUUGGAGACGUGGAAAACUGAAAACUACUCUAGCUUUAGGAAAUGGCCCCGCAACGCUAAGGAACAAAGGACUUCUCUCAGGUGUGGGACACUGAACAGCCACCUGAAGGGAAUCUUCAUACACCGUGUGUCUAGAACACGUGUGUACGUAUGUGUGUGGAUCUGUGUACAUACAUACUCAUGUACAUGUAUUUAGACAGAGAGAAGAUGAAUAUUUGAUGAGGCUGAGGAAUUGCUUUUACUGUUGGAGAUGCGUAAGCUGGAGGCAAUAAACCUCGAGGAGAGAAAAUGAAACCAGGUUCCUCUGCCUCCUCCACCAGGAAAACUGUUGUAGGAAAUGUGUGCCACAGAGAUACUUAAGGAGAACCAAAGCUGUAGCACAGCAAGGUGGGGGUAGGGCGCGGAAAGCCUGAGAUCUGGUUCCGCGUGGCACUGUGAACAGGAAACCCCCCUUGCUCUUUGUGGAGGGGCCGGGCUCACCCGCAGGCCCUGCCCAGUCUGUAGUGGCCGGGAGACCCUGACAGGAGGCCAGGGCCAGGGACCGCCCUGGAACGGACUACCCUGGAGACAGAAGGCAAUGAUUAGAGUCUUUGGGAUGAAGGAUCCAUUUUUCUACUGGGACAGUGUCAGUGGUUCUUUAGACAUUGUGAACAGCAUUAUAAAAGUAGUACCUUUUUUGUAAUUGACCUCAGGUUGCAUCUUGUGCUAUGGAAUCCAAAUAAACCCUCCAGAAACCAAAACAAACUUAUUCUUGAAAGGCAUUGCUCACCGUAGUAUUUAUUACCUUACCAUGGAAGCCCCGCCUUUAAGUAGAUCUCCGAGCCCUGCUUCUUGUGAAUUGUAUACAGACUUGAACGGAUCUGUUGCCAUGUCCCACCAACUGCUUAACUGCCUAACUGAAAAGGGGGACAGCCCCAACGAAACCACACGAAAUGGACCCCCCAAUCUAGCUCACCUAAACCUGGAUACAGUCACCCCAGAGGAGCUGCUGCGGCAAAUGAAGGAGCUCCUGAUGGAGAACCAUCAGCUGAAAGAAGCCAUGGAGCUAAAUAACCAAGCUAUGAAAGGAUGAUUUGAGGAGCUUUCGGCCUGGACAGAGAAGCAGAAAGAAGAACGCCUUUCAUUUUGAGAUCCAGAGCAAAGAAGCCAAAGAACGCCUAAUGGCUUUGAGUCAUUAAAAUGAAAAAUUGAAGGAAGAACUUGGAAAACUAAAAGGGAAAACAGAAGGGUCAUUCCAGAUUCAUCACUUUUCAUUGUACUUUUACUUCUGAAAGAUGGUUUAACAAAUGUCAUAUUGUGAUAGAAGAUUAUAUAGGGUUGCCGUGUUUUCAUCGAUCUAAAGAACCUGGGAAAUAUGCUCACAACCAAGAGUGGGUAUCAAAGAUGUUAGUGAAAAAACAAAGCAGAGCACAUGUGCAGCCUCUGCCUGGUUGCUAACGCUCACUGGAUAUUAUUUGUUUACAUGGACGCAUCUGCUGUUCAUUUUCUUCCAAACCUGGAUCUUAACUCUUUGGAGGACGGAGCACUGGGUUGAUUCAGGGAGGACAUAACUCCAGAUAUCAGUGAUCUUUCUUGAGACUUUACCUUGAACUUUGAUGAUCUCUAAUUUCUUGAAUGGGUAAAGAAUGUGAACAGAGAAAUAAAAUGGAAAGAAAGUAAUGAAAAGGGGAUGAUAUAGAAUAAUCUGAAGAAUGAAAAGUUGUUUAGAACAGUAUCAACUCGCGCUCUUGAGACAAUGAAAACAUUGAGCUUUAGUACAUUUAUAUUAGUGUUGGAAAUGUUUCACUGUGGAUAAGGCUUACCACAUCUGAUGCUUCCAGUUGGAAGAGCAUUACGUCACUUUUGGGGCAAAUCGCUCAUUGUCUGAAUGUUUUUGAGGUGUAAUACUCUGAAGAAAUGAUUACACCUGGGAUAUAUGAGUAAUUUUCUAUUCUCUGGAAGAAGAUAUCUUAUAUGGUUUUCCUCCCUUGGCUUUUGGGAUGUGAACUGACAGUUGGCUUCAGCUGGCUGGGGCCUAGCACAUUGAAGCCAAAAUGGAAGCUUCCAGAAGCAGUUUGAGAUUGUCUGCCUGUAGGUUUUCUUCCAGAUCCCAGUACUGGAAGAAGUUGAGAUCAGAAGUUGAAACUCUGGACAGCUUGUUUCAAUGUAGGCGAUCUGUCAAAGUGAGCUACAAAACAGGACUCAGAAACGAGUCCUUGGGGCAAAGGACUUGGGUGUUUGGCCCAAUGAGACACUUGGGGCUCUGUAAUACCCUUGGCAGGAAAGGUGAGGAAGAGUGCCCACGUAGGGCCUGCCGACCUGGUUCCAGGUCCUCCUCUCCACCCGGAGGGCCGUGCGAGCAGGGGACAGAUACCAUCAUAUGCCACUGCGGUCGGUGGCAUGACUAAAGUCGUGUGGCCAGAGAACAGAAAAGCCCUCCUCUUUGGUUCAAGAACGAAACCUGAUUCCUGAUCUGGGAAUGACCCAUUUAACUCGGAUCUCAGCAGCACAGCACUCAGAACCUCAGCCCGACCUGGACAGGAAACUGUCACCGGAUGCUGUCGUCCCUGUCACUGGCCCCCAUGCACUCUGGAAGCCAGUGCAGUGCCAGGGCUCAUAACUUCUGUGCCUAGAAAAACGCUCUCAACAAGCAGCCAGUUCAGCCUAUCUCUGUUGCACCGAUUAGAUUAAAGAUGAAGAAAGUCAGGGUCAGUGGGGAGAGACUCCUGGUCCAAAGCCACACACCUGGCCCAAGGCGACGCCAGGCACUGAAAUAGGUAUGACUCCAGGGAGCCUGGUGCCCUCAGAUGCUGCUACACGGGCCACACCAAUGACCUUCCUCUCUUCCCAACCACGACAACUUCUGAAUACAUGGCCUUAUAGGACUUCAACUGUUUUUCUGCGUUGGUGGGGUGUCCUCCCUCCCGAAUCAGACAGGAAUGGGGACUCCCCCCGACAGCAGUGAUGACCACGGGCAGUACAGGGCGCGUACACACCUGCAGCGUGGAGGAGAACGUGCAGAGGUGGACAUUCCUCUUGGCCGCAUGUCACAGACGGGGGAAGGUGUAGACAGAGCAGGGAAUCAUUGACCCCAGCACCCAGGCUGGCUGCUCGGCACCCAUCGCGACGAGUGCUCAGUCUGGGCCAGAAGCAGAAGAAACCCACUCUAGAAAGGUGUGCCCAGCCACGGCCAAGGCCAGGGGCACAGUGGGCCCAGGAAGACCUCCUCACACAGGCCCUGCCCCCAACCCCUCCGCCUGCUGGCUCUGCCCAGCCAGCCCGGCCCUGCUACCUCCUGCCAGGUGGGCCCUGGGGCCGGCAGGGUCUGAUGUGGGUGACACUGCUGCUGUUGUCUCCCUGCUCAUCUGGUUGUGAGCCGUUACAACUUUCUGUGUUUUAGAUUAACAUGUUUGUGCCGGGGCACAGUCGUUAGUGGACAGGGCAGUAGUGAGGGGACGUUUUCCUCAGUAAAUCUUCGGAAAGGUCCAGAGGCUGCUGGGCUGCGUGCACAGAUUCCUGACCUCAGGAGGGGAGGCUGUGGUUUGGGGCACACAGAUGGGCUGAGGACAGAGGAAGCCAUGGCCUUGUCCACCAGCUCAGGGCCAGCCACCGCUCUGGGAGGUGGGGGUUUGUGCAGCAAGGGGGCUUCCGACAGCUGGACCGCCCAUCACAUCCUGCCCCUCUGGGUCUCUGCUGGGGAAUCACUUUCCCCUCCACCCUUUCCUUAGGCAUGGCUUAUCUGUGCCUGGCACACAGUAGGUGCUCAAUAAAUGCUCAUUAAUUGAACGAAUGGCAGAGAUUGCAAACUGGUGGUCCAAGGGUCAAAUCCAGCCAUAGAUGUGUUGAAUCAAGCCAGCAUGAAUGAGUUGCUUCCAUUUGAUGACGAGGGUGCUUUUUCUCAGUUAGGAUCAUCUCUCUGUUGCAGGGAGAGCUCCUGUAUGGGUUAAUACACCCAUGAGCUCUGUAAGUUCUGGGCUGCAUCUUGGGAGCCCUGUUCAACCUGGAUGUGUUCAAUGACCAGAGAGUCUACCUCUAAACCCUUAAGUUCAGCAUUACUCUCUGCAUUUUUUAAGCAUGUGCAGUAAAAAUUCUGCUCUCUUUUUGGGUUGGAUUGUGUGUCCAACCCUAUUGUUUGGCCCGGGCACACCUCCUAACUCCACCGUUAUAACGACGGAACAGCACACGCUGCUUUUGGAAUGUGACAUCCUUUAGAUACCUGGUGGCUUUUCAGAAAUGCAGACCCUUGAUGGCUUGGGCAGUUUCACGAGUGUUCUUAAAAUGAACAGGUAGAUUCGAACCUCUUGAUUUACAUGAUUUUGUGGGGUUCUCUGAGUCAAGCGAAUAGCGAACCAUUUUCAGAGGUCACCUCAGGCUGCUUACGGGAAGAACUCUUUAUGGUUUUCUUUUUUUUUUUUUCCUGCCUUCUCUUCUUCUGGGAUUCCCACUGUAUGUCGGUUUGGUUGAA